rnacentral:rRNA from 1 species
UACAGAGGGUGCGAGCGUUAAUCGGAAUUACUGGGCGUAAAGCGUGCGUAGACGGUUUUGUAAGUCGGAUGUGAAAUCCCCGGGCUCAACCUGGGAACUGCAUUUGUGACUGCAUCGCUGGAGUACGGCAGAGGGGGAUGGAAUUCCGCGUGUAGCAGUGAAAUGCGUAGAUAUGCGGAGGAACACCGAUGGCGAAGGCAAUCCCCUGGGCCUGUACUGAUGCUCAUGCACGAAAGCGUGGGGAGCAAACAGG